GACGAACGCUGGCGGCGUGCUUAACACAUGCAAGUCGAACGGAAAGGCCCUGCUUUUGUGGGGUGCUCGAGUGGCGAACGGGUGAGUAACACGUGAGUAACCUGCCCUUGACUUUGGGAUAACUUCAGGAAACUGGGGCUAAUACCGGAUAGGAGCUCCUGCUGCAUGGUGGGGGUUGGAAAGUUUCGGCGGUUGGGGAUGGACUCGCGGCUUAUCAGCUUGUUGGUGGGGUAGUGGCUUACCAAGGCUUUGACGGGUAGCCGGCAUGAGAGGGUGAACGGGCACAUUGGGACUGAGAGACGGCCCAGAGUCCUACGGGAGGCAGCAGUGGGGAAUAUUGCACAAUGGGCGGAAGCCUGAUGCAGCAACGCCGCGUGCGGGAUGACGGCCUUCGGGUUGUAAACCGCUUUCGCCUGUGACGAAGCGUGAGUGACGGUAAUGGGUAAAGAAGCACCGGCUAACUACGUG
rnacentral:rRNA from 1 species